GAUGAACGCUGGCGGCGUGCCUAAUACAUGCAAGUCGAGCGAACGGACGAGAAGCUUGCUUCUCUGAUGUUAGCGGCGGACGGGUGAGUAACACGUGGAUAACCUACCUAUAAGACUGGGAUAACUUCGGGAAACCGGAGCUAAUACCGGAUGAUAUUUUGAACCGCAUGGUUCAAAAGUGAAAGACGGUCUUGCCGUCACUUAUAGAUGGAUCCGCGCUGCAUUAGCUAGUUGGUAAGGUAACGGCUUAUCAAGGCAACGAUGCAUAGCCGACCUGAGAGGGUGAUCGGCCACACUGGAACUGAGACACGGUCCAGACUCCUACGGGAGGCAGCAGUAGGGAAUCUUCCGCAAUGGGCGAAAGCCUGACGGAGCAACGCCGCGUGAGUGAUGAAGGUCUUCGGAUCGUAAAACUCUGUUAUUAGGGAAGAACAUAUGUGUAAGUAACUGUGCACAUCUUGACGGUACCUAAUCAGAAAGCCACGGCUAACUACGUG
rnacentral:rRNA from 1 species